rnacentral:misc_RNA from 1 species
AACCUAGCACACCUGCGGUGUGUACCUGCGGAGGGAUCAUUACCGAGUUUACAACUCCCAAACCCCUGUGAACAUACCUAUACGUUGCCUCGGCGGAUCAGCCCGCGCCCCGUAAAACGGGACGGCCCGCCCGAGGACCCCUAAACUCUGUUUUUAGUGGAACUUCUGAGUAAAACAAACAAAUAAAUCAAAACUUUCAGCAAUGGAUCU